rnacentral:rRNA from 1 species
UACGAAGGGGGCUAGCGUUGCUCGGAAUCACUGGGCGUAAAGGGUGCGUAGGCGGGUUAUUAAGUCAGAGGUGAAAUCCUGGAGCUCAACUCCAGAACUGCCUUUGAUACUGAUAGUCUUGAGUAUGGGAGAGGUGAGUGGAACUGCGAGUGUAGAGGUGAAAUUCGUAGAUAUUCGCAAGAACACCAGUGGCGAAGGCGGCUCACUGGCCCAUUACUAACGCUGAGGCACGAAAGCGUGGGGAGCAAACAGG